AUGCGGAUGUCUCUCCUGUGUCUGUGGACCAGCUGGGUCUUGUUGCUCCGGGAGACGUCUUCAGUCCCGCUGGAGGUGAAAGCCCGGACCGGCUGGAGGCGGCAGGGCGCCGGUAGACCUGACUCUGCCCCUCUGCUGGAUGGAGAUAAAUCGGGAGACAUCGGAGGGAAGCCCGGAGCCUGGAGGAGAUCAGCUGUGAGCGGGCGUCGGAUCUGUGGAGGUGCUUGUUGUGGUGGAUGGUCACUGAAAACCCAGAGAUGCAUAGAAGCAAGAUGUCCUCCCUGUUCAAACGGGCCACCAUGUCCGCUGUCCACCAGCUGUCUGUGUAGACAGCAUUUUUACGGUAACCGCUGCCAGUUCUUCACCAUGGCACUUCCAGUGGGAUGGCGCAGAGCGGUGCUCGUCCAUCCCACUGGGGCUCCACCUGUCCUGAGGUCUGCCUCCCCCACCACAGCCACCAGAACCAGCAGAACCACCAGCAGACCCGAAUCUGACCCACCUUCCCAUGAAGCUCAAGCUGAAAGCUCAAAGGAGGACCAAGGAGGUGCUUCUGAAGGGUUUCUGCCUGUGGAGGAGAACCGUGCCUCAACAGGGAGCCUGGGUUUGGUUAGGACAGAUCUGGAUCUGGAUCCUGAGUCUGAUCCAGAUCUGGAUCCAGAUCCUGAUCCAGAUUUGGAGCAGCGAAUGGCGUCCUCUGAACACCCUGGAACUGAGGCAAGAAAGGAGAACCCAUCGAGCCUGGAACUGAAGGACGACAAGGGUCAAACUGGAGAGGAGAGGAGGUGGGAGGAGACAAAGAGGAGGACACCAAGGUAACAACCUUCUCCCUCUGACUUCUUACCUCUCUCAGAGUCUGCUGUUGUUUCUUUUUGGGAUGUCCUCAUCUCCUCCUUUUGUUACCUUUUGUCCUUUCCUCCAGUUUCCCGUCCUUCGCUCAUUCAUCUCCUCAUCUUCCCCUCAUCGCCUUUUCGUCUCCUCCCUUCCCAUUUAUCUGUCUCGUGUGCUUAUGUCCUUGCAUCCUUUCACCAUGUCCUCUAAACCCGUGUCCUCUCUCAUGGCCUCCUCUUCCCUCUUUUUCUCCUUACCUUGUCCUAUCCCUUCUGUCCUCCUCAUCUCCUCUCCUCCCUUAGUUGCAGUUCAGUGUUCAGACAGCAGGCGGCGCUCCUCACAUGAUCAAACACAAACUGUCCCCCUCUGUCUUUUAUUUUGGACUUUGUCUAAAUGGACUGAAGACUGAGAGACGGAGCUCUUCGUGCUGCAGCCGUCAGACUGAACCUUUGUCUACUUUUGGUCUUUUAUUCAAACACAGAAGAAGAAAGACUCGAUCACACUGGGAUCACCAACGCAGCUGCUGUCUGAUCUGUAAAUGAAUCAAACCUCAGCAGUCAACAUGACCCUGAGUCAGCGGUCAGAGGUGAAGGUCAGGGGUCAGAGCCAGGGUCAUGACAGGCUGUGGGAACACUUUAUGCACCAAUACUCUCCUGAGUUCUGAUCAGCAGAUUCAGACCUGCUUUUCACGGAAGCUGUGUUUUCUUUAAUUUGGUCUCAAAAAGUUUCUCUCACGUUUUCAGUCACUUUUAAACGGCUCAACGCUGCCACCUGCUGGUGUGAAGAGACCUCUGCAGCCUCGUUAUAACAUGAACUCCAUGUGAAUGAAUACUGGUUUAAAAUAAGACUGUAAACCCAGCUAGGGGGGGGGGGGUGCUUUGUCCUGCUUUUGUCCUCUGAGGUGUCAGAAACUGGACGGUGCCUCAGGAGUCCAAACCCGCUGCAGCUCCUCACCGCCUGGCAGCUUCUUCUGCUCCCUUCUCUCACGAACAAGCAGCUGGAGCUCAGACCCACAACCGAGAGGAAAAGUAAACUCGGCUCAGACUGCAGGGCGACACACGCUUCUCUGCUCUCUGACGGGAUGAUCGGAGCUGCUGUGUUUCCUAAACUCGUUAUCAUGUCAGUCGCUUCAUUGGGUCAUAAAGGAAAACCGAUAUUAACUCACAGCAGUUUAGUAAACUAACCAGAGCGAUGUGGGUCCAAAUAGGGCUGGUCGGUGUAGAAAAAGGUUUAUCAAUUUAAAAAUAUAUCAUAUUGAUCGAUAUCAAUAAUUAUUGAAAACUAAAUGAAAAAUGUAGAGAAUAUAUUUUAAGUGCAGCCCUGAUAGUUUAAUUUCAUUACUUUAUGAUAACAAGAAGCAGAAGAAGAAGGAGAUAAACAAAAAAUGUACAAAUAUAAAAAAGCAAGUUGAUAUGAUAAAACAAGUUGGUGUUAUCAGAAUGAGUUUUUAUUGAGUCCCUGCAAAUUUAUUAACCCACCGUUUGUUAGUUUUUUUGUCAGAUUUGUAAGAAUGAAAAUAUCGCCACUCAGGUGAAGGACUCUAACCUUUUCUGGGACAAUUUCUUCCACCUCUCAUCGCUGCAACAUCGUACGUUUCUGCCUGUUUGGGUCUGAGAGGGGCGGGCUCGGUGAUGAAGCGGGUCUGGGUCUGUGUUUUUGAUUGGUUGGGUGUAAGGAAUGACUCUAGUGUGAAGCUACCGGAUAGGCUUUGAUGAAAAAAGGAAACUUUUUAUGAUAAACAUCGUUGUUGAAUUAUCGUCCAGCCCCAGGUCCAAGUGUAAAGAAGGAUCAGUAGAUUAAAAAAGAAAAAACAGAUGUUUUAGAACCACAAGAGAGCGCGAGAGAGGCUGAAGCAUCGAUCUUUACCGUUUUCUCUUCAUCCUGAUCUGUUCUUGGGUCAGCUGAGUUUAGUCCGUCACAGCAUUAAUUAUCAGAUCGCACAGCGGUGCUUUUCUUCUUCCUGUUCCUGUUAGCAGACUCACAUUUAUGCAUCCGACCCAGAAACUGGAAAACACAACCAGGGAACCAGAGCCUCUCUUGUGUGUGUGUGUGUGUGUGUGUGUGUGUGUGUGUGUGUGUGUGUGUGUGUGUGUGUGUGUGUGUGUGUGUGUGUGUGUGCGUGUGCAUGUGUGUGUGUUUUAAAGGUAGUUAGGAGACAUAAGUGUGUGUGUGUGUGUAUGUGUGCGUGUGUG
ensembl:lncRNA